rnacentral:tRNA from 1 species
CGGCGGCUGGCCGGGCUGAGCGAGGCCGAGCAGCUCGACGUGGUGCUGGACCUGGUCCGUACCCAGGUCGCCGCC